rnacentral:rRNA from 1 species
UACAGGGGGGGCAAGCGUUGUUCGGAAUUACUGGGCGUAAAGGGCUCGUAGGUGGCCAACUAAGUCAGACGUGAAAUCCCUCAGCUUAACUGGGGAACUGCGUCUGAUACUGGAUGGCUUGAGUUUGGGAGAGGGAUGCGGAAUUCCAGGUGUAGCGGUGAAAUGCGUAGAUAUCUGGAGGAACGCCGGUGGCGAAGGCGGCAUCCUGGACCAACACUGACACUGAGGAGCGAAAGCCAGGGGAGCAAACGGG